CCUACGGGUGGCUGCAGUAGGGAAUAUUGCUCAAUGGGGGAAACCCUGAAGCAGCAACGCCGCGUGGAGGAUGAAGGUUUUCGGAGUGGAAAGUCCUGUUGGUAGAGAAGAGAAUGACGGUAUCUAACGAAUAAGCACCGGCUAACUCCGUGCCAGCAGCCGCGGUAAUACGGAGGGGGCAAGCGUUACUCGGAUUUACUGGGCGUAAAGAGCGCGUAGGCGGGAGUGCAAGUCAGAUGUGAAAUCCUAUGGCUUAACCACAGAACUGCCUUUGAAACUGUUAUUCUAGAGUAUGGGAGAGGUAGGUGGAAUUCUUGGUGUAGCGGUCAAAUCCGUAGAGAUCAAGAGGAAUACUCAUUGCGAAGGCGACCUGCUAGACCAUAACUGACGCUGAUGCGCGAAAGCGUGGGGAGCAAACAGGAUUAGAUACCUCGGUAGUC
rnacentral:rRNA from 1 species